rnacentral:tRNA from 1 species
GUAGAUAUAGUUUAUAAAAAUAUCAGACUGUGAAUUUGAAGACAGGAGAUUAAACUCCUUAUCUACC